rnacentral:rRNA from 1 species
GACGAACGCUGGCGGCGUGCCUAAUACAUGCAAGUUGAGCGCUGAAGGUUGGUACUUGUACCAACUGGAUGAGCAGCGAACGGGUGAGUAACGCGUGGGGAAUCUGCCUUUGAGCGGGGGACAACAUUUGGAAACGAAUGCUAAUACCGCAUAAAAACUUUAAACACAAGUUUUAAGUUUGAAAGAUGCAAUUGCAUCACUCAAAGAUGAUCCCGCGUUGUAUUAGCUAGUUGGUGAGGUAAAGGCUCACCAAGGCGAUGAUACAUAGCCGACCUGAGAGGGUGAUCGGCCACAGUGGGACUGAGACACGGCCCAAACUCCUACGGGAGGCAGCAGUAGGGAAUCUUCGGCAAUGGACGAAAGUCUGACCGAGCAACGCCGCGGGAGUGAAGAAGGUUUUCGGAUCGUAAAACUCUGUUGGUAGAGAAGAAAGUUGGUGAGAGUGGAAAGCUCAUCAAGUGACGGUAACUACCCAGAAAGGGACGGCUAACUACGUG